rnacentral:rRNA from 1 species
UUGAUCAUGGCUCAGGAUGAACGCUGGCGGCGUGCCUAAUACAUGCAAGUCGAACGAAGAUGUUCUUGUGUUCGCAUGAGAGCUCUUAGUGGCGGACGGGUGAGUAACGCGUUGGUGACCUACCCUAAAGAAGGGAACAACCUCGGGAAACUGAGGCUAAUACCCUAUGUGCUUCUUAAGAUUAGAUGCUUUUGAAGUAAAGGUUCUGUGGACGAAAGGCUACAGCGCCACUUUAGGAGGGGCCUGCGUCCCAUCAGCUAGUUGGUAGGGUAAUGGCCUACCAAGGCAAUGACGGGUAGGGGACCUGAGAGGGUGACCCCCCACACUAGCACUGAAAUACGGGCUAGACACCUACGGGUGGCAGCAGUAGGGAAUCUUGCACAAUCGAUGAAAGUCUGAUGCAGCAACGCCGCGUGUGUGAUGAAGGCCUUCGGGUUGUAAAACACUUUUCUGAGGGAAGAGAAAGGACGGUACCUCAGGAAUAAGUCUCGGCUAACUACGUGCCAGCAGCCGCGGUAAUACGUAGGAGGCAAGCGUUAUCCGGAUUUAUUGGGCGUAAAGCGCGUGCAGGUGGUUUGGUAAGUUGGGUAUGAAAUCUCCUGGCUUAACUAGGAGAGGUUGCUCAAAACUACCAGACUAGAGGACGAUAGAGGAAGGUGGAAUUCCCGGUGUAGUAGUGAAAUGCGUAGAUAUCGGGAGGAACACCAGUGGCGAAGGCGGCCUUCUGGGUCGUUCCUGACACUAAGACGCGAAAGUAUGGGUAGCAAACGGGAUUAGAAACCCCGGUAGUCCAUACCGUAAACGAUGUGAACUUGAUGUCGGUGGCGUAAUAGUCAUCGGUGUCGAAGCUAACGCGAUAAGUUCACCGCCUGGGGAGUACGAUCGCAAGGUUAAAACUCAAAGGAAUUGACGGGGACCCGCACAAGCAGCGGAGCGUGUGGUUUAAUUCGAUGCUACACGAAGAACCUUACCUGGGCUCGACAUAUAGGUGGUAGGGAUCCGAAAGGUGACCGACCCCUCGGGGAGCUUAUACAGGUGCUGCAUGGCUGUCGUCAGCUCGUGCCGUGAGGUGUCCGGUUAAGUCCGGUAACGAGCGCAACCCUAAU